AACCUCGUCCUCGUUCGGUGUCUCCUACCCGCAGCUGCCCGCCACACGCCGCCCAUUGUCACUCUCUCAAAUCUCAACAUCCAUAUACAGAUUUUGCAGCUAUUAUUCCUCCUUCUUCACCAAAACACGACUCUUUGACUUCCAACAAAGUUAGAUAUAUGUCUAUGGGACUGUAAAUGCAAUCUGGUAUUGACGGAAAAUGGCAAUGGAGGCAUUGACGGGCAGGGGUCCUUCUAGCAAGAAGAAUAAGGGAAAGGUUCCUAAAAGAAUUCACAAGGCUGAGAGAGAGAAGAUGAAGCGUGAACACUUGAACGAGCUGUUUCUUGCUUUAGCGAAUUCCCUUGACCUAUCUGAUCAGAACAACGGCAAGGCCACUAUGUUGAUUGAAGCCACUCGAAUGGUGAAGGACAUGCUGGUUCAGAUCGAAUGUCUGAAAAAAGAAAAUGCCGCUUUGUUAUCCUAGUCCCAAUAUGUGAUGGUAGAGAAGAAUGAGCUACAAGAUGAAAAUUCUGCUUUAGAAGCUCAAAUCAGGAAACUGCGGACGGAGCUCAAGUCUAGGGUUUCCGAGUUGCAACUAGAUCUGAACACAGUUCCGCCAGAAUACCAGAUCCAAGGGUCGGCAUCACAUAGUAGUGAUGGUCUGCUCGUGCUCCCUCCAACGCAACCUGGACAACCGCAAGCACAAAUCGUAAAUCCUUUACGUCUUGCCACCUUCUGCCCAAACAUUCAAGCUUAUCCAGAGGUAGGUAAUGAAGGAAUCACGCCUAGGCAUAUUUCCAUUGUGAGUAAACCGCAUGCUCGAUACCCUACUGCAGCCGACAGGUGGCCAUCUCAAGUGCUUGAAAAACAUCCCGAGUCUGGAAAACAAGCCGAGCAUGGUCACGGAAACCGCGGUUAGUAUGCGGUGUAGAGCCUGGCGUUGGCUAAGUUUAUUUGGACAUGUACAGCAGAUCAGUGAUCAUGGUUUUGCUAGUUUUAACUGCUCAGAACGAUCUUUUGGCCGACGGAGAAUUUAGAAUUAGCAGUAAGUAAACCUGGGAAACACAAGUAGUAUUGUCUUAUUUAUGUAUGAAAAUAUAAGUGUAUGUAUAUGUUUAUACUUGUCAGACAUGGUUUAUGAGUAUACUAUUGGAUAAAUCACUCUGUUUGAAGCA